rnacentral:rRNA from 1 species
AUUGAACGCUGGCGGCAUGCCUUACACAUGCAAGUCGAACGGUAACAGGUCUUCGGAUGCUGACGAGUGGCGCACGGGUGCGUAAUACAUCGGAACGUGCCCGAUCGUGGGGGAUAACGGAGCGAAAGCUUUGCUAAUACCGCAUACGAUCUACGGAUGAAAGCAGGGGACCGCAAGGCCUUGCGCGGACGGAGCGGCCGAUGGCAGAUUAGGUAGUUGGUGGGAUAAAAGCUUACCAAGCCGACGAUCUGUAGCUGGUCUGAGAGGACGACCAGCCACACUGGGACUGAGACACGGCCCAGACUCCUACGGGAGGCAGCAGUGGGGAAUUUUGGACAAUGGGCGAAAGCCUGAUCCAGCCAUGCCGCGUGCAGGAUGAAGGCCUUCGGGUUGUAAACUGCUUUUGUACGGAACGAAAAGACUCUUUCUAAUAAAGAGGGUCCAUGACGGUACCGUAAGAAUAAGCACCGGCUAACUACGUG